UUGCUUAUUAUUGGAGAAUUUACACUUAUGUAUGCAACAUUUACAAAGAAAAAUAAAUGAAUUCACAAUAAAGCAAAUAUUGUUCACAUCAGAGUCAUAAUAUCCCAAAAUAGUAUCCUCAAAAGUUAUUGAAAAACCACCGUUACUAUUCUCAUUAAGAAAUGAGCUAAUAUCAUUCCAAAAAUGUUAAUAUAAUGACAUGACCAAAAUAAACGAUGGACUGUUUCUUUGCCAACUUUACAACUUGUAUCAAUAUCAUUUUUGUAUUUCACCAAAAAGUGCUGGACGGGGUAAAAUGUAUGAAUUAAUUUGAAUGAAAAUUCCUUUACUUUAUUAGUAAGAAAAUAUUUAUGUUGCAACGACAAAAUCCUUUUCCAGUUAAAUUUUUUGAAAAGACGAUGACAAUAAUAAGUUACAUGAGAUGCAGAAACAAUAUCCUGAAGAAAAAUAGAUCUUAUUUUAUCAUUUUAACCUUUCUUUCAGGAAAACAUAGUUUACCUAUAUUUACAUACAUUUCCAUUUAGUCAUUCAGCAGAUGGCUCGGGAAAGGAAGCGAUUCUAAGUAACAAUUGAUUGUUAUGUUAUAAUAACAUGUUUAUUCCUGCUAUUGCUCUCAUAACUAUAGCAAAGUCUUUAGGGGAAACAGGUAUGUGAUAUGUUAAAAGAAGCUCAGAAUAAGACAUUAAUAAGCCUGUGAUGUUAUACAACUGAUUAACAAUAAUCAAUCCAUUAUGUAACCAAUUAUAAAACAACAACUUUUUUUAUACAGGGUAUUUUGAUUGUUUCAAAUAAAAAAAGAUGGGAGGUGAAAUUGUGUUUGUAUAUAAAAGUCCAUGUCAGAAGUCAGAGUUUCAUAGGUAUCUUUGGUAUAUUGAAAUUGCACAUUAACAAGACAUGUAUACCUCCAAAAUGUGAGAAAACAUAUUGAGGAAAAAUGUACCAUAUGGAAGAUUUUUCAAAUAUAUGUAUUAAAGACAACAGAUCCCAUCAUUCCACCCUCCUUCACAGCGUCAUCACGCUACGCCAUUUUUUUUUAUCAGGCGCCCUCUAGCGGCGGUUUUUACAAACUGUAGCUUUAACAGAAGACAGGUGAUCAGAUGAACAUUACGAUCUUUUCAACAGCUUUGCAGAAGGUCAUGGGCUUCAUCCCAGAAAGGGCUCAUACGGAUAUGGAGGAGUUUGUGCAGAGCUCAGGGGAUGAUGGGAUAGUGGUGUUCUGUCUGGGGUCCAUGUGAACAGCAUCACUAAAGAGAGGAGCAACACGAUCGCCUCCGCCCUGGCACAGAUACCUCAGAAGGUCGUAUUGCUCAUUAUUUAAUAUGAUUAAUGUGUCAUUCUUAAGUCAAGAAAAAGUCCAGCAAGGUUCACAGAUGAUCCAUUAUGAUCACUUCUGGUUGGGAUUUGUUGUCAUCUUUUGUGAUGUUUGAAGGUCUUAUCUUAUCUAUGACUGGAUCCAUUAGAACGAUCUGCUGGGUUUGUUUCGGAUGUUAUGAGAACAUAUUCCUUUUCAAAAUCAUAACACAGCAUCUUUUGAAUCUGUCACGCACGUUGUUGUUUGGUUCAGGUCAUCCCAAAACCGAAGUGUUUAUCAUUUAUGGCAUAAAUGAGGCCAUAUAUCUGGGUGUACCGAUGGUCGGUAUCCCCUUCUUUCUCGACCAGCCUGGAAAACAUGGCUCCCAUGAAGGUCAAAGGAGCUGCUGUUGUCAUGGACUUCAACGACUCGAGAUCUGACGGAUGGAUUUAACACUGUCAAUAAAGACCCCUUGUGUAAAGAGAAUGCUAUGCAUUUGUCCAGGAUCCAUCAACAUAUCUGAGUGUUGAGGCUCAUAAUCUGACCUGGUAUCUGUACCACUGUCUGGACGUGAUUGCUUUUCUCAUCACUAUUGUGACUGUUGUCUUCUGCUUCCUCUUUAAGUGCAUCAUAAUCCGUUGCUGUUUUAGAUCAAAGCGUAAAAGCAAGAAAGAGUGAAAUAGAUUGAGAAGAUUUUUUUAUUCCUUUGCACUUAAUAUUCAGUUUGAUACAGUUUUAUGUAUACAUAUGUCAUUUUAUUUACCCAUAUAUUUUAUAUUUGUAGUUAAAUAUAGUUUUGUUUUAAACACAGGCAUAUAUGCAGAACAUAAUUUUCAUAUUGUGCAUUCUUGUAAAUUUACGGCUUUAAAAUUCUUUGUUUGCUGUAUGGCUCAGAAAUCUAUAAAUAUAAGAUAAAUAUGAGA